rnacentral:rRNA from 1 species
UACGAAGGGUGCAAGCGUUGUUCGGAAUCAUUGGGCGUAAAGCGCGUGUAGGCGGUUGUCCAAGUUGGAUGUGAAAGCCUUGAGCUCAACUCAAGAAAUGCAUUCAGGACUGGAUGACUAGAGGACCGGAGAGGAUAGUGGAAUUCCCAGUGUAGUGGUGAAAUACGUAGAGAUUGGGAAGAACACCAGUGGCGAAGGCGGCUAUCUGGACGGUUUCUGACGCUAAGACGCGAAAGCGUGGGGAGCAAACAGG